ensembl:lncRNA
UAUCUGAGUGUUUGAUUGAGGAAGGAAAUUGGACCUGUUGGAAUGGAACACAUGCGGACCGGUGGUGCAGCUCUGAAUCGGUCAUGGAGGUGACAGUUCUAAUCUGCUUUUCUUGUUAACACCCAGAUGGAGAGGGAGAGAGAGAGGAAGGACAGGCUGUGACCAGAUUCGUGAAAGAGUCGGGGCCAAGGAUGGACUGAAUUUGUGCUUGUGUGGGGGGAGCAGUGCCAUCCUCUCUCGGCCUGGGAGGCGGGUGUCCCAGCAGGACUCGGCACGCCAGCAUCUGCAGAGAGGCUGCGUCUCUUAACAUCACUCUUAGCCCUUCACUUUCUUCAGCAAUCGACAUCUUUACUUAGAAAGCUGAGUGCCUCGAAGAGUCCUCCACCGGAUUGGAGACAGCUGGGAGGCCACAGAAUUCUAAGUCUUUUCAAGACCGAAUGGACCACAGAGGAGAGGCACUGGGUAGAAAACUCAACAGGUGAUAUUUGAAGACCUCUACUUAUAGCCUGGGUCAUCCCCCUGGAAGCUGAAGAUCCUGUUCUCAAAGCCUUUUAAUUGCUUGGCUAAAGACUGAACACGUACCUUGUUCCCCACCAAAGCCGCUGCCUGGCAGAACAUUCCAGGGCACAGGCUCUUGCAUUCUCCAGUCUGGAAGCUUCUGCUUCCACGGCCUGACAGAGUGAGCCGGACCAGGCCAUCAUGUUCAUGGUUCCAGCCCUACUAAGACUGGGCUCCAACAGCUGGGCCCUGCAGAGAGGGCGAUGGAAGGAAGACCCUAGCACAGGCCAGAAGGAGGCCCUGGGCUGUCACGGGUGCCACUGGUCUGGCCCCUGCACUUCCAAAGGAGCUGUUCUUGCCAAACUCCAAGCCCCCUCCCUAGGAGGCAUGCUGGCAAUGGUGGGCCAUGGCUUACAGUUGCUUAAAAAACGAAAGGGAGCACAGUUUACUCGGGAACCAACUGAUGUUCCCUAGGCCUGGAAGAGUUGAAAUGAGGAGAGCUCCACUAAGAAACAGCACUAAGAUUAUUUUAGCAGAUGGUAACCUUUAGUGAUUUUUAAUCAAACAAUGUAUUUGAUCAUGUGUGCCUAAACCACCAUACGUGUAUUACUUUAAAAGUAAAAUGGUAAAUGCUUUCCUAAA